UGGCCUGCUCACUGANUUAUUUUAAAGAGCCGCGGUAUUUUGACCGUGCAAAGGUAGCAUAAUCAUUAGUCUCUUAAUUAGAGGCUGGAAUGAAUGGCUUGACGAGAAAUUAACUGUCUCUUGAUAAUUUUUUGAAUUUAACUUUUAAGUCAAAAGGCUUAAAUUUUUCUUUAGGACGAGAAGACCCUAUAGAGCUUAAUAUUUAAAUUUUAUAUAUUUUUAUGUUAGUCUUUAUAUAUAAAGUGAAAAUAUUUUGUUGGGGUGACAUGAAAAAUUAAUAAACUUUUCAUCAUGACAUCAUUAAUUUAUGUUUUUUGAUCCAUAAUUUAUGAUCAUAAGAUUAAGUUACCUUAGGGAUAACAGCGUAAUUGUUUUUGAGAGCUCAUAUCGACAAAACAGAUUGCGACCUCGAUGUUGGAUUAAGAUUAGUUCUGGGUGCAGUAGUCCAGUAAUUAGGUCUGUUCGACCUUUAAAUUCUU
rnacentral:rRNA from 1 species